AAAUAUUGGACAAAAGGUGAUGUUGAUGGACCAAUUCGGGAAAAUGACAUUAUUAUAAAUUAAGUGAAAUUGAUGGAUACAAACAAUUUAUGAUUGUAAUUUGAAUAACAGUUUGUUACUUGCUGGCUGGACCAACAAUUGGAAAGUAUCACUGGGUAAAAGAAAGAUUGCUGUCAAGUCCAGUUUUGGUCAAUCACAUCAACUUGGUCUUAACUCGCUCAUUGGUAACGGGUGUAACUGGAAUCACAAUUUUGGACUCUUAAUGAUUAUCCGACAUAUUUUUGAUUAACCUUGAUUGCACGGUUAACCAACUGUUAAUCACUUUCACCAAAAAAUCAUCCAGAAUCACCUAAACCACAAAGCCCCACUAAUUGACCUGGAAUAUCAUUUAACGCUGGUUUACAUGCAAAAACGAGUUAAUUGUUCAUUCUAAAUUGAUUUCCUCGCCUUAAUCCGGUUUAAAAAGCAAUAUUAAUGAAAUUGUUAAACAUCAAGAAUUUAAUCAACAACAGAUUAACAAAUUACAACCUUGAAAACAAGAAAAGACUUCAAAUUGUAUCAAAAUAAUAGCAAAUAAUGUACUAAAUUAGAUUUACAAUUUUCUAAUUCCUGUUCUUUCAGAAUCACAAUUCAGCCGAUGUUUGACUCCAAUGUUGUACCCAAAGCCAUCUCGAGCUGGAUUUAUAACCAAAGGAUAGUUGAGUUGAUCAAUUCAAUAGCAAUUUGUUGUUGGGUUUCAAUCUUACCUUAAAUUUAUCAUUCGAUUGAUGCAGAAAUGACUCGGAUUACCUGUCUAAUUAACUAAAUGGACAAUUAUUUUACAAA